GACGAACGCUGGCGGCGUGCCUAAUACAUGCAAGUAGAACGCUGAAGAGAGGAGCUUGCUCUUCUUGGAUGAGUUGCGAACGGGUGAGUAACGCGUAGGUAACCUGCCUUGUAGCGGGGGAUAACUAUUGGAAACGAUAGCUAAUACCGCAUAACAAUGGAUGACACAUGUCAUUUAUUUGAAAGGGGCAAUUGCUCCACUACAAGAUGGACCUGCGUUGUAUUAGCUAGUAGGUGAGGUAACGGCUCACCUAGGCGACGAUACAUAGCCGACCUGAGAGGGUGAUCGGCCACACUGGGACUGAGACACGGCCCAGACUCCUACGGGAGGCAGCAGUAGGGAAUCUUCGGCAAUGGGGGCAACCCUGACCGAGCAACGCCGCGUGAGUGAAGAAGGUUUUCGGAUCGUAAAGCUCUGUUGUAAGUCAAGAACGAGUGUGAGAGUGGAAAGUUCACACUGUGACGGUAGCUUACCAGAAAGGGACGGCUAACUACGUGCCAGCAGCCGCGGUAAUACGUAGGUCCCGAGCGUUGUCCGGAUUUAUUGGGCGUAAAGCGAGCGCAGGCGGUUUGAUAAGUCUGAAGUUAAAGGCUGUGGCUCAACCAUAGUUUGCUUUGGAAACUGUCAAACUUGAGUGCAGAAGGGGAGAGUGGAAUUCCAUGUGUAGCGGUGAAAUGCGUAGAUAUAUGGAGGAACACCGGUGGCGAAAGCGGCUCUCUGGUCUGUAACUGACGCUGAGGCUCGAAAGCGUGGGGAGCGAACAGGAUUAGAUACCCUGGUAGUCCACGCCGUAAACGAUGAGUGCUAGGUGUUGGAUCCUUUCCGGGAUUCAGUGCCGCAGCCAACGCAUUAAGCACUCCGCCUGGGGAGUACGACCGCAAGGUUGAAACUCAAAGGAAUUGACGGGGGCCCGCACAAGCGGUGGAGCAUGUGGUUUAAUUCGAAGCAACGCGAAGAACCUUACCAGGUCUUGACAUCCCGAUGCUAUUUCUAGAGAUAGAAAGUUACUUCGGUACAUCGGUGACAGGUGGUGCAUGGUUGUCGUCAGCUCGUGUCGUGAGAUGUUGGGUUAAGUCCCGCAACGAGCGCAACCCCUAUUGUUAGUUGCCAUCAUUCAGUUGGGCACUCUAGCGAGACUGCCGGUAAUAAACCGGAGGAAGGUGGGGAUGACGUCAAAUCAUCAUGCCCCUUAUGACCUGGGCUACACACGUGCUACAAUGGUUGGUACAACGAGUUGCAAGUCGGUGACGGCAAGCUAAUCUCUUAAAGCCAAUCUCAGUUCGGAUUGUAGGCUGCAACUCGCCUACAUGAAGUCGGAAUCGCUAGUAAUCGCGGAUCAGCACGCCGCGGUGAAUACGUUCCCGGGCCU
rnacentral:rRNA from 1 species